UGUUGGCGCACAAUAUUGGGGAAACUUUUCAUUUUGCCCCCAAAAAAAUUCUCUCCUAACUCUUUCCCUUAAUACUCUUUCGCCAAAUACUCUCCAAACAUCAUCUCUCACCGAUUACUCUUCUCCGCCGAAUCCACUCACGCCGUCGAACCCAACCAUGCUCUCUUCUUCGUUCUUCGGCCACAAUUCAUGGAUUCGGAGUUGAGGUCUUCGCCGGAUUCUUCGAAGGUCAGUAGGAAGUGCUUCACAGACAAACUCAAGUCUCUUCAACUAAGGUAAAGCGCAAGCUCGGAGAAAAAGAGUAAGCAAUCUUCCAAAGGUAAAGCACAUGGUAAGCGAAAACUGACAGUUGAAAUUAAGGGGGACUUUGCGCGUCUUGUUUGGUCCAGAAGAUUUAUCUUGGUAUUCUAUGAGCUUUCCAUGACCAGAGCUCCGCUUUCAAUGAUGGAGUUAGCAACAGAGCUUUUGAGACGUGGAUCCACUGUUUCAGUUGUUGCACUUAGCAGGAAGGGUGGUUUAUUGUCAGAGCUUUCUAGAAGACAGAUCAAGGUGUUGGAGGAUAAAGUAGAGCUCAACUUCAAAACUGCAAUGAAAGUUGAUCUCGUAAUUGCUGGUUCAGCUGUAUAUGCAUCAUGGUUGGUAUGAAAAGAUUGAUUACAAUUAAUUAUGAUUAUGGUUUAUUCUUUCGUUUGUUAUUCGGUAUAGUUAAUUCUUUCGUUUGUUAUAUGUGGAAACUAAGGAUAUGCAUGAUUGGAGUUGAAGUUUAAAACAUGAGAUAUUGGAAUGGUUGUCAUUCGUAGAAACAAGAUAUGAAACUAAGACAUUCUUCAAUUUUGUAAAUAGGUUAUUUAUCAAACAAAAUAUUUUCCUUCCUGCUCAGAUAAAUCCAUUUGUUUAUGGUUUCAGAUAAGGACACUCGGAAUGCUUAGGCUCCGGUUCGAAUCAUUGCCUGAUGCUUUCAGCAAAUUCUGAUGUCUCUCUUAUGUACAACUUCUGAUGUCUCUCUUAUGUACAAAUUACUACUUUUAAGUGAAAUAUGAAGUUUUUGGAACCUACAUGUGCCGUGAAAUUCAUUUCAUGCGGCCGCGACGGCAGCUACAUGCGCCAUGAGAGGCAGUCACGACAGUAAUGCGCGCGUUCUGUUCUCGUGAAAUGCUUCUAAGCGGUCGCUUCCCUCUGCACCGUCGUGAACACGCCGAUUAUGGCCGUGAUUAACUACUUAGUCUCAAAUUUUUUAAAUUUUUGAUUUCAUUUGAGCACAUCAUUUGAGAUUUCAUUUGUUUUUCUUUUAACAAUAAACAUGUACAUGAAAAUAUUGGAGAUGAAGCAGUACAGGAUGAAGGAUUUGAGACUAACCUCAUUAGAUCUGAAGAUAUGGAACUCAAUAUUUCUCUUGUUUUUGAGAAGAUUGAGAAUUUUGCUCAGAGGGUAUCUGAGCUCAUAGAAUCAGGAAAAACAAUGUUUAAGGAUCUCUGUAAUGAAUUUGAAGAGAAACUGAUUAUGAUUCACCGGAGCAAGUCGAAAAAUGGCAGGAAGAAAUCAAAGAAUCGUGUGCACUUGAUGCAUCAAAUUAGGAAGCCAACACUCUUCUGCAAAAUGCUCGAUAUGUACUUCAGCUGAGCCGUACUGAUUAAUGAUGGUAGUUGCCCUGUGCCUAUAUUCAUGUAUAAUCUCUCACCCCCAAACUUUAAUCAGGUAAAAAAAUACUUCGAUAGAAGAGAUGAGAAUGUGUCAACGCUGGGAAUACUUGGUCAGUUCUGGAUCCAAUUCAUUUCUGUUGGACUGAGUUUGGCUUUUUAUCAUUAGAUUAAAACUUUAAUUUGAAAUAUAUUCUCAUGAGUAAUGACUGAUUAAGUUGUAGCAUCUUAGUUUGAAGGAUGACAUUUCAAGAAAAGGACCAUUGUUUCUAAAUCUUAGACCACACAUUUGCAAGGAAAUGGGGUAUGGCCUUGAGCAAUUUCUUCUCAUUUUUCUAUGGAUCACUUAGGAAGUUAAGCAUCUGGAAAUUUAGAAUGAUCCCAUUAAGGGCUGAAAAGGAGGCAGUGAUUAAUUUCUAGGCACCUUUAGUGGAGCCAGAUCUCAAUGAGGAAGAUUUGACUCUGAAUUCUCGGAAAAGAAAUGUUAGAAGGUUGGAUUGUCAAAAUCUGUAUGAAGUAAUCUUCUUUUUGUGGUAUGAGGUUGGAAUGUUCUGCUGCUAGUGCUUUAAAGAGUGAUUUAAAAGUGGUGAAGGACAAUUUCUUUGUGCUUUUAAUUGGUUGUAGUUGAGAAUUGUAGGUUCUAGAUUUUAUUUUAAAAUCAUUCUUCAUCCUUGAUAUCUAGUUGUGAAAAUAGAUAUUUAUUUUUUCAAGUCACUUGAUUUGUACUUAAUGAGAUUGUUGAAAUUUAUGCUUGCUAUACUUACAAUGCAAAUGAUUCAUUGAUUCUUGUGGAAUAUUCAACUAAUUUAUCGAGAGAUAUCCCUAAGUGUAGGAUUAUGUUAAAAAUAUAUGCCCCAUGAUAAAAAUACUUUAUGAUUUAUAUUGGUAUUGUACGAGUUCAUAGAUAAAAAGAAAUCUCUAUUCUUCUAUGUUUCAUUGAGUUUUAUGAUUAGCUUUAACUUUCAAUAUCAAAUGUCAAUUACAAGGUUAAUUCUAACUAACA